UCGUAAUUCAUAGUCUCCUGUGAGACUCGAGG
rnacentral:piRNA from 1 species